ACGUAGGGACCAAGCGUUGUUCGGAUUUACUGGGCGUAAAGGGCGCGUAGGCGGCGCGGUAAGUCACUUGUGAAAUCUCUGAGCUUAACUCAGAACGGCCAAGUGAUACUGUCGUGCUAGAGUGCGGAAGGGGCUACUGGAAUUCUCGGUGUAGCGGUGAAAUGCGUAGAUAUCGAGAGGAACACCUGCGGCGAAGGCAGGUAGCUGGGCCAUUCCUGACACUGAGGCACGAAAGCGUGGGGAGCGAACCGGA
rnacentral:rRNA from 1 species